rnacentral:lncRNA from 1 species
GGAAAAUGAGAAUAGACUAGCGAAAGGGUGAUUCGAUUUUUCGGAGUAUAUGUAUACAGGCAGCGGCGACUUGUGUGACGAAACAACUGUACCGUGACGGUGAAUCGGAAGAUUCGUAUUUGAAAGUCGUACUGACCGACAGGUAUUUACAAAUAGGUAUGUUUUGCCUCGUGAAUUUGGAAUUCGGGAAACCGGGUCCCGUGAGAUCAGAAUGAAUCACGUAGCCAGAGUCGCCGAGAAGUACCAGGAAAAUCGUGCGAGCUUCGGUGCACGCUAUAUUUGGAUUUUGUAGACAUGGGCCAUCGGUGUGUUAAUUGGAAAGUUAAAUUGGUCGGCGUUAAAAUGUAAAUACGUAGGUACAACGUACGUGCAGAGAUGAACCUAAUUUACGAAAGUUCAAACAGUGUUGGACCUCACGUUGCGCCGCACGCUUCGACAAUUAGAACGAAAUUACUACUAUACUACACAAUCGCGAGAUAUCAGAGAUAAGCAGACGCUCGAUUAUUGUCCGGGGCAAAUACCGAACUGCGAUUUAACGACUGGGCGGCGAAUUAACAUUAAUAGACGGUGCGUGGCGAAAAAAAUAAAUGACAUAUGGAUGGGAUGACAGAAGCAGAAGAAGCGGCGGGUGGUAGCGGUCAAACGGCACGUCAUCAGUAUACCAAUGCCGCCGACUUGGUAGCAUUCCGCACGUCCGAGGAUCGAGUAGUGUACGUACGGCUUCGACAAUAAAAACCGACGAGAACUCCACGCACACGACACAAGAACUCUUCUGAGCUGUUAUGGCCGCUCCGAAAGAUUUUAGCUGAAAACCACGCCCAUCGGAUAUUCCGAAACUCUGGAUUGGUCAGCUCGCCUUGCCACGUUUCCAGUUUGGAGCAUAUACUACUGGAGGUAGCGGACCCAUGCCGUUAACCUCGCGAAAACUAUGGCCGUAGUAAUGAGGGAGCGUGAUAUACAUCCUCGGGUUACCCAGGAUACUCCGUCUCUUUCACUCUACAUUUUAUUGUCCAAGAGGAAACGUAUCAGCUAACCGGGAUGUAGAGCGAGAGAGACAGAUUGAGGAUAGAAGAAGCCGGUGUUUCUGUUCUAGGGUAGCUGCAGGUAGCUGGAAGCAUAGGAGCCAUCGGAUUCAGUUAUCCAGUUAUUAAUAGUCACUUGUUGAUUCUCUUGAAUAGUUCGACUGAGUUUACAUACAUACGUGGUUUUUAUUUGACUGUUUACAGCAAGCAGUGGCUGUCGGUUUUUAGUUGAGUAACUGUUAAGUCUUGCAUUGAAAAAGACGCUGCAUUUCGGUAAGAGUUACGUUUGAAGUACAGUACGUAUAAAUACCAAUACUUCGAUUGUUCUGAAUAACGAAAGAUUAGCUAUCCUAAUGUGCGAGUAUUUCUUGGAACAGUGAGAGAGCUGUUUUUGGCUCUACUACGGAACGUCAAUUAUGAAUUUGAGAAACGACGCCAUGAAUGCGUCCUUUCAUUGCACAUUAGUGCAAUUUCGAAUGCGUUCAGUGUCGGGCUAUCGAAACUAACUAUACAUACAGUUUCAUACAAUAGAUUUAUUCAAUUGAAACAGAUCUCUUUUUUUGAGGGUGGCUUUCCUGAUUGUGAGUGAUUCUGCAUCCUAAGCAACAAUGAAAUACAUAGGUAUAUCGACGCCAACCCAUAUCUUUGACAUACAAGUUUGAGUCCCAGUGUGUGUAAUCCUGGGGGACAAGGUACGGGGGCCGUCUAUAAUCAAUACGCUAAUGUAACUACUUCUUUGCCGCCGUGGCAUGCAACCUUGGCUCCCCGCAGAGCACAGUGGAAUGUCAAGCCCUCCCCAACAGUCGUUGCUUACUUUCUAUUUAUCGCAAACACAGAUGCAAGGAAGUUGAGAGAGGCGAUGACAAGAUUGGGAUCCAGCGAAAUAAUCGUGAUGGAUAUAUUAGCAAAUCGUACUAAUCUACAGCGACAAAAAAUUGCUGAAGAGUAUAAAACUCUCUAUGGAAUGCUAUGAUGAUGCCACUACCGCAAUAUUAUGCUAAGGAACUGCAUGAUUCUAUGCGUGGCUCCGCUACUGACGACUGUCUUAUCAUUGAGGUUCUCUGCACGCUGUCCAACGAUGAAAUUAAGAUGAUUGAACAGGCUUAAAACUCCAAGUAUUCAAGAAGCUUAGAAUACGAUAUCAGCGGAGAUACUACAGGUAGUUUUAAGGACCUGAUAUUCCCCCUGUUCAUUGCUGAUCGUGAUGAAUUGUUUGAUCUGGAUCCAGCGGAAGCUCAAGAAGAUGCUCGCACACUUAUCGGGAUUGGUGGGUGCCCAUUU